AUUGAACGCUGGCGGAACGCUUUACACAUGCAAGUCGAACGGUAGAGGGGGCAACCCCUCGAGAGUGGCGAACGGGUGAGUAAUAUAUCGGAACGUGCCCAGUCGUGGGGGAUAACGUAGCGAAAGUUACGCUAAUCCCGCAUACGAUCUAAGGAUGAAAGCGGGGGAUGGCAAGACCUCGCGCCAUUGGAGCGGCCGAUAUCAGAUUAGGUAGGUGGGGGGGUAAAGGCUCACCAAGCCAACGACUGGUAGCUGGUCUGAGAGGACGACCAGCCACACUGGAACUGGGACACGGUCCAGACUCCUACGGGAGGCAGCAGUGGGGAAUUUUGGACAAUGGACGCAAGUCUGAUCCAGCCAUUCCGCGUGCAGGAUGAAGGCCCUCGGGUUGUAAACUGCUUUUGUACGGAACGAAAAGGUCUCUCUUAAUACGGGGGACUCAUGACGGUACCGUAAGAAUAAGCACCGGCUAACUACGUGCCAGCAGCCGCAGUAA
rnacentral:rRNA from 1 species